AGAAUCAACGCUGGCGGCGUGCCUAACACAUGCAAGUCGAACGCGGUUACCCCCUGUUUCGCAAGAAACGGGGUGUGACUGAGUGGCGAACGGGUGAGUAACACGUGGGUGAUCUACCUUUGAGUGGGGGAUAACGUUCCGAAAGGAACGCUAAUACCGCAUGACGUUCUGGGUUUGAAGACCUGGAAACCAAAGUCGGGGACCGCAAGGCCUGACGCUUGGAGAGGAGCCCGCGCCUGAUUAGCUAGUUGGUGGGGUAAUGGCUCACCAAGGCGACGAUCAGU
rnacentral:rRNA from 1 species